rnacentral:lncRNA from 1 species
GAUUUCCUCCCGGCCCCCGCCCUCCCACAGCCCUUUGCAGGACGUGCAACAGGGUUGUGGCUCGUGUGUUCGGUCUCUGCCUGCUGAAACCCCUUAUGGGAGGUGGAGCAUGCAGACGGACGGGUGCAGGAGCCAGGGUGCAAAAGCUGGGGCGCUGGGCUUCCAGCCCCACGGCAGUGUCCAGGGGCAGGAUCCCGUGAUUCCCGGAGCCCAAAUGGGCGUGUGUUACAGUGUGCUCUUUUAGCCUUACCAUCAGCUGACGGCUUAAGUGUUAACCAGCUCAAUAGACCCUCUGCCUUUUUGCAAGCGCAGAGGGUCAGUGUGACAGUUUCUGUAUCUCAGCUCUUGUCUCACCUCCCAGAAGAAUCAGGUCACACAUGGACUUGAAGGAUGAACACCAGAGACUGGGUAAUUAAUAAAAAGAAGAAAUUGAUCUGGCCUACAGUUCUGGAGCCUUGGAAGUCCGAGAUCAAGGAGCUGCAUCUGAUAAAUACCUGGAGUGGGAUUGCUAGAUCACAUGGAAAACACAGAUCCUGGUGCCGAACAUGAGGACAGGGCAGGCCGAAGGAGAAAGUG